AAGUGAGUGAAAUCACCAAUGCGUAAAUAUCGCCGAGACCGCUACCUUCUUGAGAGCGUAAUUCCUAAGUUUUCUAUCAAAUUUCAUACUUUUGUUGUCGUUACCAACAAGAAAAGAUUCUCUAUCAUUUCAUAACAAAAAAUAAUUUUUUUUAAAUUCUUGACACGGAGCAAGUUUUUGAGCAGGGGUCUCGACAGUGAAAGGGUUAAAGGUGUGGACACCAUACCACAGAUACAUAUUCCAAUUUUGAUCAAACAUACUGCUGUUUUUUUCUUUGUAAUUUUUUCAUUUAUAUACUGUAUUUAAAGGGUAUUUCAAAUUUAGGCACUAUUGCAUAAGAAUUUUUCAUUGCUACAUUUCUGUGUUUGACAGUGUCAUGUUUGAGAUAAUGUGUGGUGUGAGUGGUAUGCAAACAAUAAGGGGUGUAAAAAUUUGAAGAUGGUAUGGUAAUAUGACAGGUAUAAUUUAGAGAGCCAAGGAGGGCUUGAGAUAUUUAGGUCACUUGGAAAGACUAGAGAAAAAUAGGCUGACCAAGAGGGUCUAACUAUAUUUCACAAAGUAAAUUUGGGGAUUUUGGGUUUCCUUUCAUCCUAUGUUUCCAGUUUGGCUUUUUCUUGAAGCUGCAUUAGCACUUCAUUGGUGAAAUCCUCAUCAAGAGACUCCAGUAACUACAUCAUACCUUUUGUCAACCCCUAAACUCCUUGAUUGUUUUCUAGUCUUUUCCAUAAUUGUCGGAGUUAGAGAAGAAGUUUCUUUUCAUCCUAGGACCUGGAUGAGCUAAUAAAACAUUGAUCUGUUGGUCAGAUUAAGAAUUUUUUUAUUUUUCAGAAGGAAUACAACUUUUUAAUUGGCAGCCUCUGACUUGGCUGGGUGUGUAGUUCCCAUUCAUCUCCAUUUAUUUUGGUUUCUCAGCUGGUAAAGUCUGUCCUUAUCUGUGCCUGUUGUGUGUUUCUUCAAGAACAAGAACUUUUACUUAUUGCUUUUUGUUUUUGGCUAGGUGAGGGUUCCACAUUAGUGUUACAUAUUCAAGGAUUGGUUGCCAGUACAUGAAUUAGUCAUCCAAGGUAUUUUUCUUCGUUUCAGUCUUAUAUCUCUGGUCCUAUUUCUUAAGUGCCCAACUUCAUUACUUUGCACAUAAUUGUGGUUAGACUGUAUUACCUGGAGUUUACCUGGAGAGAGUUCCGGGGGUCAACGCCCCCGCGGCCCGGUCUGUGACCAGGCCUCCUUAGGUCAGUGUCCCAGGAUGCGACCCACACCAGUCGACUAACACCCAGGUACCCAUUUUACUGAUGGGGAACAUAGACAACAGGUUGAAAGAAACACGUCCAAUGUUUCUACUCUGGCUGGGAAUCGAACCCAGGCCCUCGCCGUGUGAAGCGAGAGCGUUAACCACCAGGCCACCAGAGGAGUACUAAUAGCUUCUUCAGUUGAUCUUGUAGCAUGUCUUGGUUCUACAGUUUACAACACAUGGAAGUACCUAAGUGCCUCCUGUAGUUCCUACAUGUGAGAGUACCUUCAGGAUCUCUUGCAGUUCCCUACAUGUGAGAGUACCUUCAAGUUCUGUAGUUUCCUACAUGUGCAAGUACCUUCAGGUUCUAUAGUUUCCUACAUGUGUGAGUACCUUCAGGGUCUGCUGUAGUUUCCUACAUGUCAGAGUACCUACAGGGUCUGCUGUAGUUUCCUACACGUGAGGAGUACCUCCUCCUCAUUCUGCGGUUUUAUGAGUGAGUGAGAAUUUAAUAGGAUUUUUAAUUUUUCCCUUAAAAUAUAAUGACUACAGUACAGGAUUUUCUCAGGAUGGCUUUAAGUAAAGUUACUGAUUCUCCUCAUGUUGUCAGUCUGUUUGACUUCAUGAUUUCCUGUAAUAGUAUUAUCCACCAGUAGCACUCUCCAAUGAUGGAAUCUUAAACUUAGGAAAAUAAUUAGCCAAAUUUUGUACAGUAUCUGAAUCUUAAUAUAACACAUGUAUUUAGUAAUGCCUAUAUGAUGGAACCUCGUUUUUCUGCCGUAAUCUGUUCCAGAAGGUCGGCCUAAAUUUGAAGCAGUAUUUCCCAUAAGAAUUAAUGUAAAUACAAUUGAUCCAUUCCAGACACCCAAAAAUAUUAACAAAAAAAAAUUUUUUUAAAGAUUAAUUAUAUGUAAAGUAAAAGGACACAAGUGCAACUAAUGUGACAUUUUUAUUGUAGCAAUGUUUUGCUCUCCAGGAGCUUUGUCAAGCUGUUAUGGCUUGACAAAGCUCCUGGAGAGUGAAACGUUGCCACAAUAAAAAUGUCACAUUAGUUGCACUUGUGUCCUUUUACUUUACAUAAUGUCGGUAAUUCUACCAACAUUACAAAGAUAAAUUAUAAUUUUACAUACACAAAACAAUGAGAACUAAAUAAAAUAAGUAAAUGAAUAUUUAAAUCACUAUUACACAUCUUUAUUGAAGACUCUUGUUGGCUAAUGGAGGGAGGGAGGACUGAUUAUUGUUUGGAAGGGGAAUCCCCCCUCCAUAAGGACUUAAGGUAUCAAAGCCCUGUCUGGGAUUACUUCCCUGCCUGACUGCUACACUCCCUUCCACACUCCCUGCAUGCCUGCUACACUCCCUGCAUGCCUGCUACACUCCUUCCUUGCCUGCUACACUCCCUGCAUCCCUUCCACACAGUUUUCAUGCUACACUCCCUCCCUUCAUGCUACACUUCCUACCUGCCUGGUACACACCCUGCCUCCCUUCCACAUUCCCUGUUUCCAUGCUACACUCCCUGCCUGCCUGCAACACACACUGCUCAUGGUGGCUUAUUUCACAGUCACACUUAAUAAACAAGCCACAUCAGCUUCCUUGAUUUAUUCUUUCUUUGCCAGGAUAGAAGUGAUUGUUGAUUUUUCUCUGCCAUACAUUCUGGCAAGUUCCAGCACCUGAACACCACUCUUAUAUUUUUCUAUUACUUCUUAAAUUCCAUCGUGUUUCUUGCGUUCUUUAACAAAGAAACUUUACUAGGAACUUUCUUGGGGCCCAUGGUGACUUAUUUCACAGUCACAUUUAAUAAAAAAAACACCAAAAACAAUGGAUUUUAAGGAAAUGUUUAGAUGAAUGCACAGAGUAUAUGCUCACUCGCCGACAGACAAAGAGAGACUGACUCGCCUACGGGCUGACACAUCUAAUACAGCUGACACAUGAGGCAAUGGCUGAAAUACGGAGCAAAAUUUCCGCCGAAAAACUGGCCUAAAUACGAAUCAGCCGAUAAACGCAGCAGCCAGAAAAUGAGGUUCCACUGUACUUUAAUUCUGAAACAUACUGCAUAAUAGAAAAUAAUUAAUGUAUAUAGCCUAAUGUUAAUACUUUAUUAAUCUUAAAUUUUGUAAAGUGUCAGUCACUGGCAGUCCCACAAAUAUUUGUUAAUAAUAAUAAUAAUUAAUAAUACGAUACUACAGAAAUUUUUUAAAUAUAAAUUGCAUUGAUAAGUAGAAUUGUGUAUGAAAAACAGAACUGCAUGUUCCUAGUAAAUACUGAGAUUUAUAUUUUGUAACAAAAACAUGGUCCCCAGUUCCAAAUAUCUCAAAAUGUUUUAUGAAUAACAUUUCUAAUAUGUAUUAGAGAAGUGACUGUGCUUGUGCAAGGGUGUACAUAGUGCUGUAAUUUAUUUUGCACAAACUUGCCUCCAUCCCUGCUAUAUUUUCAUAAUGAUUUACAUAUUUAUUGGUAUGUAUCUUCAAAGUCCUCAAGGUUAUCCAUGAGAUAUUUGAGCCAAAAACUAAAAAUUAAUAUAUUCAUUAGUUUGUUAAACACAAGUGCUUUGAUAACAUACAAGUACCAGAUAGUUACUGUUAUAGAACUCUUUACCCAAAAUAACUCAUAAGUGGACAAAUAAUUAGUGAAUACAUUUUAUUUUCAGUAUUUAGGUUGUAGUAUAGUUUACAGAGGUGAUGCAUUAUGAUUUUAAUAUUUUUACUUUUUAUAAUUGCUGUUUUUCUAUCUUAGAUUCUUGAAAAUGCACCAAACCAUUCCAUGCAAAUGCCAACAACAAAUUUGCAUUAUAUAGGGAAACUUCAUACUAUCUACCAUUGUUCCCUACUUGUGCACAUUAUUUUGUUCCUGUCUGUGAUAUUUUGGUGUAAUUCAGUGACCAGAUAUAUAGCCAGAAAAUUGAAACUUAUUGUCACUGUCCCUUGUUUAGUGUCGAGGGUGCCCCAUGCUCAGUGUUAUCAGCAAUGAGCAUUGCUGUUUUAAGAGAUGGAGGCAUGCUAUUCAGGGAAGUAAAAAAUAAAUAAAUAAAAGUCA